UCCCUGGUUGAUCCUGCCAGUAGUCAUAUGCUUGUCUCAAAGAUUAAGCCAUGCAUGUCUCAGUGCAUGCCGAAUUAAGGUGAAACCGCGAAUGGCUCAUUAAAUCAGUUAUGGUUCAUUAGAUUGUACCCACAUUUACUUGGAUAACUGUGGUAAUUCUAGAGCUAAUACAUGCAAAACAGAGUCCCGACCAGUGAUGGAAGGGACGCUUUUAUUAGAUCAAAACCAAUCG
rnacentral:ncRNA from 1 species